rnacentral:lncRNA from 1 species
AUGGAGACCAGCUGGGACAGCAGCCUCCACAGCUGGGCCGGGCCUGCCCCGGCUGUGAUCCAAGCCACCAUGUACUCCAAAGCAGCGCGGCAGGCGGAGGAAACCAGGGAAGAGCUGGAAAAGAUCCGGGCACGGAUUGACCAUAUGAUCCAGGCCUAUGAGCGCAGUGAGCAGGUCUCGUCUGCCCAGCAAGCAGCCGCAGAGAUUGUGGAGGAUGUGGAGCAGCUGGCAGCCGUCUUGGGGGACCCCGUGAAGAAGAGGAGAUACCAGCAGCAAGUGACUGUCUUCAUCGUGGGGUACCAGGAGUCCUGUGGGCAGCGCAAUAGCCUCCUGAGCCAGCUGCAGGAGUUCUUCAGCUGCUCCGUGGAGCUGGGGCUGGGGGAGGAGAGCCACAGCCUGCCCGACGACUUCCCUGUGCACAUGGACGAUGUGGCUGGCACGGUAACAGCGGCUUUGAGCUCAGCCGAGGCAGCCAUGUCCCGCCUGGCGGAUCUGAACAAGGAGAUUGUCAGCUACGUGACCAGCGCCCUGGCCACACACAGCCCCAAAAGGAGCCACAGGAAGCAAGUGGAGAAGGCUGUAGACAAGGCUAAGGAAGAGGUGGUCCAGAUCAAACACAGGCUCCUGCAGGCUCAGACGUGGAGACCAAGGAACGACAGCUGAAGGACCUGCAGCAGCUGAGCGAGAUGAAGGCGAAGGAGAGCCGGCUCUUCCGAGCCCAGCUGGAGAGCACCCAG